GGUUAAGCGACUAAGCGUACACGGUGGAUGCCCUGGCAGUCAGAGGCGAUGAAGGACGUGCUAAUCUGCGAUAAGCGUCGGUAAGGUGAUAUGAACCGUUAUAACCGGCGAUUUCCGAAUGGGGAAACCCAGUGUGUUUCGACACACUAUCAUUAACUGAAUCCAUAGGUUAAUGAGGCGAACCGGGGGAACUGAAACAUCUAAGUACCCCGAGGAAAAGAAAUCAACCGAGAUUCCCCCAGUAGCGGCGAGCGAACGGGGAGCAGCCCAGAGCCUGAAUCAGUGUGUGUGUUAGUGGAAGCGUCUGGAAAGGCGCGCGAUACAGGGUGACAGCCCCGUACACAAAAAUGCACAUACUGUGAGCUCGAUGAGUAGGGCGGGACACGUGGUAUCCUGUCUGAAUAUGGGGGGACCAUCCUCCAAGGCUAAAUACUCCUGACUGACCGAUAGUGAACCAGUACCGUGAGGGAAAGGCGAAAAGAACCCCGGCGAGGGGAGUGAAAAAGAACCUGAAACCGUGUACGUACAAGCAGUGGGAGCCUUGAUUUAUCAGGGUGACUGCGUACCUUUUGUAUAAUGGGUCAGCGACUUAUAUUCUGUAGCAAGGUUAACCGAAUAGGGGAGCCGAAGGGAAACCGAGUCUUAACUGGGCGUUAAGUUGCAGGGUAUAGACCCGAAACCCGGUGAUCUAGCCAUGGGCAGGUUGAAGGUUGGGUAACACUAACUGGAGGACCGAACCGACUAAUGUUGAAAAAUUAGCGGAUGACUUGUGGCUGGGGGUGAAAGGCCAAUCAAACCGGGAGAUAGCUGGUUCUCCCCGAAAGCUAUUUAGGUAGCGCCUCGUGAAUUCAUCUCCGGGGGUAGAGCACUGUUUCGGCAAGGGGGUCAUCCCGACUUACCAACCCGAUGCAAACUGCGAAUACCGGAGAAUGUUAUCACGGGAGACACACGGCGGGUGCUAACGUCCGUCGUGAAGAGGGAAACAACCCAGACCGCCAGCUAAGGUCCCAAAGUCAUGGUUAAGUGGGAAACGAUGUGGGAAGGCCCAGACAGCCAGGAUGUUGGCUUAGAAGCAGCCAUCAUUUAAAGAAAGCGUAAUAGCUCACUGGUCGAGUCGGCCUGCGCGGAAGAUGUAACGGGGCUAAACCAUGCACCGAAGCUGCGGCAGCGACGCUCAUGCGUUGUUGGGUAGGGGAGCGUUCUGUAAGCCUGCGAAGGUGUGCUGUGAGGCAUGCUGGAGGUAUCAGAAGUGCGAAUGCUGACAUAAGUAACGAUAAAGCGGGUGAAAAGCCCGCUCGCCGGAAGACCAAGGGUUCCUGUCCAACGUUAAUCGGGGCAGGGUGAGUCGACCCCUAAGGCGAGGCCGAAAGGCGUAGUCGAUGGGAAACAGGUUAAUAUUCCUGUACUUGGUGUUACUGCGAAGGGGGGACGGAGAAGGCUAUGUUGGCCGGGCGACGGUUGUCCCGGUUUAAGCGUGUAGGCUGGUUUUCCAGGCAAAUCCGGAAAAUCAAGGCUGAGGCGUGAUGACGAGGCACUACGGUGCUGAAGCAACAAAUGCCCUGCUUCCAGGAAAAGCCUCUAAGCAUCAGGUAACAUCAAAUCGUACCCCAAACCGACACAGGUGGUCAGGUAGAGAAUACCAAGGCGCUUGAGAGAACUCGGGUGAAGGAACUAGGCAAAAUGGUGCCGUAACUUCGGGAGAAGGCACGCUGAUAUGUAGGUGAAGCGACUUGCUCGUGGAGCUGAAAUCAGUCGAAGAUACCAGCUGGCUGCAACUGUUUAUUAAAAACACAGCACUGUGCAAACACGAAAGUGGACGUAUACGGUGUGACGCCUGCCCGGUGCCGGAAGGUUAAUUGAUGGGGUCAGCCGCAAGGCGAAGCUCUUGAUCGAAGCCCCGGUAAACGGCGGCCGUAACUAUAACGGUCCUAAGGUAGCGAAAUUCCUUGUCGGGUAAGUUCCGACCUGCACGAAUGGCGUAAUGAUGGCCAGGCUGUCUCCACCCGAGACUCAGUGAAAUUGAACUCGCUGUGAAGAUGCAGUGUACCCGCGGCAAGACGGAAAGACCCCGUGAACCUUUACUAUAGCUUGACACUGAACAUUGAGCCUUGAUGUGUAGGAUAGGUGGGAGGCUUUGAAGCGUGGACGCCAGUCUGCGUGGAGCCGACCUUGAAAUACCACCCUUUAAUGUUUGAUGUUCUAACGUGGACCCGUUAUCCGGGUUGCGGACAGUGUCUGGUGGGUAGUUUGACUGGGGCGGUCUCCUCCUAAAGAGUAACGGAGGAGCACGAAGGUUGGCUAAUCCUGGUCGGACAUCAGGAGGUUAGUGCAAUGGCAUAAGCCAGCUUGACUGCGAGCGUGACGGCGCGAGCAGGUGCGAAAGCAGGUCAUAGUGAUCCGGUGGUUCUGAAUGGAAGGGCCAUCGCUCAACGGAUAAAAGGUACUCCGGGGAUAACAGGCUGAUACCGCCCAAGAGUUCAUAUCGACGGCGGUGUUUGGCACCUCGAUGUCGGCUCAUCACAUCCUGGGGCUGAAGUAGGUCCCAAGGGUAUGGCUGUUCGCCAUUUAAAGUGGUACGCGAGCUGGGUUUAGAACGUCGUGAGACAGUUCGGUCCCUAUCUGCCGUGGGCGCUGGAGAACUGAGGGGGGCUGCUCCUAGUACGAGAGGACCGGAGUGGACGCAUCACUGGUGUUCGGGUUGUCAUGCCAAUGGCACUGCCCGGUAGCUAAAUGCGGAAGAGAUAAGUGCUGAAAGCAUCUAAGCACGAAACUUGCCCCGAGAUGAGUUCUCCCUGACUCCUUGAGAGUCCUGAAGGAACGUUGAAGACGACGACGUUGAUAGGCCGGGUGUGUAAGCGCAGCGAUGCGUUGAGCUAACCGGUACUAAUGAACCGUGAGGCUUAACCUU
rnacentral:rRNA from 1 species